rnacentral:rRNA from 1 species
CCUACGGGUGGCAGCAGUGGGGAAUAUUGGUCAAUGGGCGCGAGCCUGAACCAGCCAAGUCGCGUGAGGGAAGACGGUCCUAUGGAUUGUAAACCUCUUUUGUCGGGGAGCAAAAGACGCCACGCGUGGCGUUCCGAGAGUACCCGAAGAAAAAGCAUCGGCUAACUCGGUGCCAGCAGCCGCGGUAAUACGGAGGAGGCGAGCGUUAUCGGGAUUUAGGGGGUGUAAAGGGUGGGCGGGCGGAAGGUCAAGUCUGCGGUGAAAUUGGGAGGCGGAACUUAUUGGAGCAGUUGAAACUGGUUUUCGUGAGUGGGGGAGAGGGAGGGGGAAUGCGUGGUGGAGGGGUGAAAGGCGUAGAG